GGGGUUGUGGCUCGGCGGUAGAUCGUUCACCUCACACAAGCGAGACCCUGGGUUCGAUCCUCAGCACCACA
rnacentral:tRNA from 1 species